rnacentral:tRNA from 1 species
AAGAUUAAUAAGUUGAAAGAAGGCUUCUAACCUUAUUUUCGAGCAGUUCAAUUCUGUUCUAAUCUUG